UCUUCGAUUGGAUGCUGUCCUAGUUGAAUGUCUUCAAAAACUGUGUGAAGUGGUAAAUAAUGUUCAGUUGACUGAUCAGAACCAUGCUAACAAUUGAAGUUUGUUUUAUUGGGUACUAAUAAGUAUAGAGCCAUUAUUUACAUAGCUCUCAGAGACAAUUAAUAAAAGCAUGAAGUUAUGGAGUACUAUUACUCUAAUAGCUUUUCAAAUUGUCAUUUGGUUCUUACCUAUUAUCUACUUAAUCCUCACCUUCCUUUUCUGUUUCCUUGCUGUCGGCAUAUUUCUUUUGGCUUUCUUCUUACCUUGGGACGAUUACUAGGCUUUCAUUUCCCUUUCUGUUUGCUUCUUUAUCUUCUCCAUUAGUUGCUUCAUUUUGUGCUGUCUUUACCCUUUUGAGGAACAAGUUUUCCAAGGGCACUGUCAGCUUCUUCACUUUUCAUGAGCUCUUCUGCAAUCGUUGUUGGGUCAACUGUCAAUAACAAAAAGAAACAGUUUAUGAAGGGGAAAAAACUGUCUUCUAAACUCUUGAGUUGCAACAGAGACUGCUGAGCUCUAAGUCACAGAUAUGAAAUUCCAAGUCAUAGUUAGCCAUGGCUGCAAUCAAGCUCGACUUUCCAGUGCCUGGAGAAGUUGAUGGAUAGUUGAGGUUGGUUGAUUCCCAUGACCCACAGUAUGAAUAGAGCUUCAGGACCUUGUUUUCUUCUAUGAAGGCUUCUGAUCUCUCUACCACAUAUGGCAACCUUUUCACCUUCACCAAUGGUGAUUGAAAGGUUCUUACCUUCUGGAGAUUUCGAUCUGCAGUUACUCAACUAUUGCUUCGACAACUUCGGUUCAU